UCACAAUCCCUAGUUUUCCCCAUUUACUUCGUCACUGUUUUCUUUUUUCAUCUUCUGGUUUCACUCCUUCUUCUCCACCACUUCACAUUCGCUUUUCCUUCUUCCCUUCUCAUUUUCCCUUCUUAGCUUCCCUUCUUCUUAUUCAAACAUCUCACCAUCUUCUAAGUUCUUUCAAUCCUUCUCCAAUCGUUAUUGUCGGCUCUCACUCACUACCUUCCUUCGUCACUUCUUUAGCCACAAAAAGCACAACCCUAUGUCUUGCACGAAACCACCCGCGGCGGUGAAUCCAGUGUUGGCAGAGCUGCCAACAACGUAACCCGGUUUCUCUACUAGAAUCUCAAAUAGCACUACUCUAGAAGGAGCAAGCAAUGGUUUAUUUAGGUGGUAUAAUUGUUGGAUUUGAAAUUGAAAGCAUUGAUGAUCUAAUAUACUUUGCAAAUGCAUUUGGAGCAAUCCAAUUAAGGUUACAAAUUUUGAGUAUGUUGUUAAGGCUGAAGCUGCAACAGAGGAGGUUGUAGGAGUUUAGUGUCAUGGGAAAAGGGAAGCGUAACCAGAAGCUGGUA